rnacentral:lncRNA from 1 species
CUAUGCCCAAUAUGACAUCGAACUCUUUAAGGUUCUUGAGUUCUAGCAUCCUAUUGGGCAUUAUCCAGUCGCCUACUUGUACUGGACACGAUGAGCAUUCCGUGUAGGUGUUAAACGUCGACCCAGGGCCCUCAACUCGCCACUUGUCACUCGCCUCUAUGAGUAUGUCAUGCAUGCGUGCGAAUGAUCUACUGAUAAAUGAAUGUGUGGCGCCUGUAUCAAACAUAGCCCUGGUGCGAACUCCGUUAAUUAAAACCAUA